UUCCCCUUCAUCUUUAAUGGGUGUUUUCUGUAAUGACCAAUGAGCAUGUUUAAACAUGCUUCCUACUUUUUGGUUCUGCACUUGAACGUUGUUGGCUACCAACGCAAGGGAGAGGAUGUUUUAAGGGACAUCUUCAGCUGAUCAUGAAUAGCCUUUGAAGAGGAAAAACUGAGACAAUGCAUCCUUGUGUGUUUAUUUGAAGAAACCGAUCGAUGUUCAAGGAAUCUAUUAUUUGUUAUGAUGAGACUAAAACAAUUAAUCCAACUUUAAUUGUUGAAUCGCCAGAAGAUAAUAACAAAUAAGAAUAUUAGAUUUUUUAAAAAGAAAAUUAAUUAAGUAAACAUCCACAACCAUGCAGGAUAUUGAUAACUUAUGACUGAAUAUAUAGUAAUAAAAUAAAAUACUACUAAUUCCAGAAGAGAACAUAAUAGAAAAACUAUUCUAUACAACACACUUUCCUUCUUGAUCAAUUCUUGCUCCUUCCCUCAACUACUAGCACUUCUUGCAUAUCCACGACCCUAGGCUUCGUCAUGCGCAUGCUUUAGCGUAACAUAAAUACUGGUGCACACUAGUAGUAAGGAGGAGGAGGAGGGUGAUUCCAAGGCGGAGGUGGCCUGUAUGGAUCAAAAAAAGGUGGUGGAGGAGGACCAGGAGGAGGAGGAGGAGGAGCUGCCCAUUGGGGAAAUUGAGAUACUUACAAAUUCUAGCUAGCUAGCAAGCAGCAGAGCAGCUUCUAUGGGAGCAAG
rnacentral:misc_RNA from 1 species